UGCCGGGUCGUCCAAUGGCAGGACUGCGGCCUUUGACGCCGUCAAUCUUGGUUCGAGUCCAAGCCCGGCAACCA
rnacentral:tRNA from 2 species